rnacentral:rRNA from 1 species
GAUGAACGCUGGCGGCGUGCCUAAUACAUGCAAGUCGAGCGAACGGACGAGAAGCUUGCUUCUCUGAUGUUAGCGGCGGACGGGUGAGUAACACGUGGAUAACCUACCUAUAAGACUGGGAUAACUUCGGGAAACCGGAGCUAAUACCGGAUAAUAUUUUGAACCGCAUGGUUCAAAAGUGAAAGACGGUCUUGCUGUCACUUAUAGAUGGAUCCGCGCUGCAUUAGCUAGUUGGUAAGGUAACGGCUUACCAAGGCAACGAUGCAUAGCCGACCUGAGAGGGUGAUCCGCCACACUGGAACUGAGACACGGUCCAGACUCCUACGGGAGGCCGCAGUAGGGAAUCGUCCGCAAUGGGCGAAAUCCUGACGGAGCAACGCCGCGUGAGUGAUGAAGGUCUUCGGAUCGUAAAACUCUGUUAUUAGGGAAGAACAUAUGUGUAAGUAACUGUGCACAUCUUGACGGUACCUAAUCAGAAAGCCACGGCUAACUACGUG